rfam:Beta vulgaris subsp. vulgaris chromosome 2, whole genome shotgun sequence.
GAUACGAGGAAGGGCGUAUUAAUAGACGAAAUGCUUCAGGGAGCUGAAAAUAAGCAGAGAUUCGGAGAUUCCCGAAUCGGUCAAUCUUUGGAAUUUCUGGGCAGGCAAGAGACAACCUGGCGAACUGAAACAUCUUAUUAGCCAGAGGAAAAGAAAUCAAAAGCGAUUCCCGUAGUAGUGGCGAGCAUCUAAGUAGUAAUCCCACCCCAAGAUGAGUGCUCUCCUAUUCCGGCUUUGGAACACCUCUAACAGAGGGACAAAUAGUCC